rnacentral:rRNA from 1 species
AACGAACGCUGGCGGCAUGCCUAACACAUGCAAGUCGAACGAGACCUUCGGGUCUAGUGGCGCACGGGUGCGUAACGCGUGGGAAUCUGCCCUUGGGUUCGGAAUAACAGUUGGAAACGACUGCUAAUACCGGAUGAUGACGUAAGUCCAAAGAUUUAUCGCCCAAGGAUGAGCCCGCGUAGGAUUAGCUAGUUGGUAAGGUAAAGGCUCACCACGGCGACGAUCCUUAGCUGGGCUGAGAGAAUGAUCAGCCACACUGGGACUGAGAAGCGGCCCAGACUCCUACGGGAGGCAGGAAUGGGGAAUAUUGGAAAAUGGGCGAAAGCCUGAUCCAGCAAUGCCGCGUGAGUGAUGAAGGCCUUAGGGUUGUAAAGCUCUUUUACCCGGGAUGAUAAUGACAGUACCGGGAGAAUAAGCUCCGGCUAACUCCGUG